rnacentral:lncRNA from 10 species
GAAUCGGAAUUUCUAACUGAAGCUGAAAUCAUUUGUGAUGUUGUAUGCCUGGUAUAUGAUGUCAGCAAUCCCAAAUCCUUUGAAUACUGUGCCAGGAUUUUUAAGGUUUGUUGCUCCUACAGACUAUGACUGAAUGUAACUUCAUAUGGACUUUUUAUGGAAUUGCAGUGUGGUGUUUCCUAACCACAAAAAUGCAACAAAAUCAUGUGUAUUUUAAAAAUACAUACAUCUUUACCCUAUUCCUGAAGGUUCUGGUUUUGUUCUAAAGUGGUAGAGUCUCAGACAUACAUAUUUCUGAAAGUUUUCGACAUGUGAUUGUGAGGUGCAUUCCUGAUUGAGAACUUUUACAUUAAUGCAAGCUCUUCCCAGCUGUUAAAAGUUACAUAUGUCUGCCUUCUCUCUGAUGAAAAAAAAGAGUAGUACAUAUGGAUUAUAUAUUGCCAAAUAUACCAAGAAUAACAGCCAGAGGAAAGGGAUAAAUCUGAAGCUUAGAAAGUCUAUCAGUCACUUAGGGAUUAUCAAUAAGAUUCAAUAGGAGUAAAAAGCUAUAUGUACAAAGGUGUUUAUUCUAGCAUUGUUUUUAACAGGAAAAAACUGGAAAUAAUCAAGAUGGCUAACAAUGGACGAUGAUUUACUGAACAACACUUUAUGGACAGCAGAAUACCUUGCUUAAUCGUAGCUGCAAAGUCAGACCUGCAUGAAGUUAAACAAGAAUACAGUAUUUCACCUACUGAUUUCUGCAGGAAACACAAAAUGCCUCCACCACAAGCCUUCACUUGCAAUACUGCUGAUGCCCCCAGUAAGGAUAUCUUUGUUAAAUUGACAACAAUGGCCAUGUAUCCGCACGUGACACAAGCUGACCUCAAGAGCUCCACGUUUUGGCUUCGAGCAAGUUUUGGUGCUACUGUUUUUGCAGUUUUGGGCUUUGCUAUGUACAAAGCAUUAUUGAAACAGCGAUGAUAUAAAAAGAAAUACUGUCCCUACCAAAAACAAAUACUUUUAUGUACAUUCUGAAUGCUUUAAGUUCUGCUAGAAUUAUUGAGAUAUUUAUACAUGCAGAGUUACUUUAUUAAUAUUUGUAAUUCAUGCAUAAGAGUAUUUUAAUGAUAGUUAUAACUGCAGUAUUGGCUAGCAUAUGGAAAGAAAACAGCUAACAGCCAAACUAAAAUGGCUAAAUUCCAGAGGCCAAAAGGGAAUAUUUUGUAAAUAUAUGUACAUAUUCAGGCAAGAUAUGGUCUCCCAAGCUGAGUUCUAGAAAUGAUGUUUCUAGACAUUUCUAAGUGGUAUUGUUAGUGCUCACUUGGCUCACUCUUCUAGGUUUAAGUUAGCCCAGAGAUUGUAUUUACUCAUGGAUCACUUUAUUUAUUUCACAUUUACUCAGAAUGAUCCUUUGGGUUCUAUAAGGACAUAAGGUACAAUUUGCCAUUGUCUCUCCAUUUUUAAAAACAUACAAGUCAGUGUCAGCUUACCAACAUGACAUUUUUUCAGUCAGUUGUGGUAGGCCAGCCUUGAAGCCAUCGCACAGUCUAGAAACUUGUGUAGCUGAGUGUGCAGCUCACCUUUAAGGGUGAAGUUAGGUAAAAGCAAUUAGCAGAGGCGUUAUCUAUGUGAUUAUGUUGCUUCCUUGUCAGUAUGUUGAAUUUUAUAGCCCUUUCAAUGAAAUAAAAAAAAAAUUUGUAUAUUACCAAUGUUUUUAGUUUAAAUAAAGAGUCACCCUUACUACUGUUGAAUUUCAUCCCAAGUGUAAAUCAUUCUAUAAUGGCUGUGUCUGUUAUAGUAUAUUACAGUAACUGCAUGUGUCACCAAGUGUUCUAUAUCAGGCUAGGAUAACCUAGAGGCAGUAAUUUUUUAAAUGAUAAAAUAAAUCUAAUGAAUAUAAACUCUCAUGAUAAACCUAUUUUUUCCAUCAUCAGCCUUUUCAAG